rnacentral:rRNA from 1 species
AGAUUGAACGCUGGCGGCAUGCCUUACACAUGCAAGUCGAACGGCAGCACGGGAGCAAUCCUGGUGGCGAGUGGCGAACGGGUGAGUAAUACAUCGGAACGUGCCCAGUAGUGGGGGAUAACCCGGCGAAAGCCGGACUAAUACCGCGUACGACCUACGGGUGAAAGCGAGGGGAUCGCAAGACCUUGCGCUAUUGGAGCGGCCGAUGUCAGAUUAGCUAGGUUGGGUGGGUAAAGGCCCAACGAAGGCGACGAUCUGUAGCUGGUCUGAGACGGACGACCACGCCACACGUGGGACUGACGACGACCGGCCCAGACCUCCGUACGGGAGCGAGCGAGGUGGGUAAUUUCGGACAAGUCGGGACG